UAUAUCAUUUGGAGGUCUUCCACUGAGACAAUUGGAUGGAGGGAUACAAGAUGUCAUACAACACACUGAGGCCUUAACUAAUUAUACUCAGCAGGCCUUAAAUGACACCAUGACUGGUCUCUCUGUCCUAAAUGAAGAUGUAAAAUAAAUGAGCAUCCUGGCUACCAUGAUGGGAGAAGCUAUCCUCCAUAGUAGGACCUUCCACAGUGUCCUUUCUGCCUUGAAACCAGGUAAGUAUGAACUGAAAACAUGAACCAAAAUAAACCUCUCUUUCUCUAUGUUGUGGAU